CAUCCAUACAACCAAGGAGGAGUAAUUCACUUUACCAAGAAGAAAUCUAAGACUAGGAAGUUAAAUGUCACUGUGAAAAAUUCAUACAGGAAACACUGAAGCUCAGACCUUGUGCAUCUGGCGUCAGGAAACAGUACCCGAAACCAUGUGAGACUGGAGGGCGCACAGACACCUUGGGUGUUGCUGGCCAAGAAUCAGGAGGCAUCGUGUGUCCCUGCAGGUGUCAGCACUGGUGAUGACACCUGAGUACCGGACUCUCCCCUUCACACCAAGAUGCUAUCUAAUACUCAUGGUAACUGGAUGCCAUCCGGAGGAUGAGCAAGAAGAGAAUUAACUCCUUGCUGACUGAGUUUCCUAGAGAUAACUGCAGGUUUGUUGCCAUGCCAUGUGUGUGCAUUAUUUAUUGAUGGAACAGGGAGGAAAGUGACACGGAAAGAAGUUUUCUGUGACUGGUCAGCCUGUUGAUGGUACGUCAGUCAGCUUGUAUCACAGCCGUGAAAUCCCUGGACACAGCCUACUCAUCAAGCAAAAGCAAGCUUUACUUAGGUUCAUGUUUCCAGGAGUUCAAGUCCAAGAUGGGUGGCCUCAUUGAUUUGGGUCUUUGACAAAGGUGGUAGAGCAUCAAGGAGCUGACAGAAAAAAAAAAGGCAGAGACUGUGAGGACCCACAGCUCCUUCACGAGCACAGCUCUAGGGACCCAAGGACCUUCGGCGAGGCCUCAUCUCCGCCCGGUCCACGCCGCCACCAGUGCCGCCGCCCUGGGGACCGGGUGUCUCUAAACCGUCCUCUGACAAUGCUCAUCCGCACCACAGCUCCAGACACUGAGGAGACGCUAAAGAAAUGAGAAACAGGUUCCUGCUCGUGUAGACCACAGGGUGUUCUGGUUAAGUUUAGCCUGAAUUAUGAGAGAAGAAAUGUGAUUUUUAAAAUUCAAAAA